UACGUAGGGUGCGAGCGUUAAUCGGAAUUACUGGGCGUAAAGCGUGCGCAGGCGGGCUUUUAAGCCAGAUGUGAAAGCCCCGGGCUUAACCUGGGAACUGCGUUUGAAACUGGGAGACUUGAGUGUGGCAGAGGGGGGUGGAAUUCCACGUGUAGCAGUGAAAUGCGUAGAUAUGUGGAGGAACACCGAUGGCGAAGGCAGCCCCCUGGGUUAACACUGACGCUCAUGCACGAAAGCGUGGGGAGCAAACAGG
rnacentral:rRNA from 1 species